GACGAACGCUGGCGGCGUGCUUAACACAUGCAAGUCGAACGGAAAGGCCCUGCUUUUGUGGGGUGCUCGAGUGGCGAACGCGUGAGUAACACGUGAGUAACCUGCCCUUGCCUUUGGGAUAACUUCAGGAAACUGGGGCUAAUACCGGAUACGAGCUCCUGCUGCAUGGUGGGGGUUGGAAAGUUUCGGCUGUUGGGGAUGGACUCGCGGCUUAUCAGCUUGUUGGUGGAGUAUUGGCUUACCAAGGCUUUGACGGGUAGCCGGCCUGAGAGGGUGACCGGCGACAUUGGGACUGAGAUACGGCGCAGACUCCUACGGGACGCAGCAGUGGGGAAUAUUGCACAAUGGGCGGAAGCCUGAUGCAGCAACGCCGCGUGCGGGAUGACGGCCUUCGGGUUGUAAACCGCUUUCGCCUGUGACGAAGCGUGAGUGACGGUAAUGGGUAAAGAAGCACCGGCUAACUACGUG
rnacentral:rRNA from 1 species